GAACCGGGCAAACGUUAUUCGGAAUUACUGGGCUUAAAGGGUGCGUAGGCGGCGCUUCAAGUCGGGUGUGAAAUCCCCCAGCUCAACUGGGGAACUGCGCCCGAAACUGGAGUGCUUGAGGGAGAUAGAGGUGAGCGGAACGAAUGGUGGAGCGGUGAAAUGCGUUGAUAUCAUUCGGAACACCCGUGGCGAAAGCGGCUCACUGGGUCUCUUCUGACGCUGAGGCACGAAAGCUAGGGGAGCGAACGGGGAUUAGAUACCCCGGUAGUCCUAGCUGUAAACGAUGAGCACUAGAUCGGGGAGCCCCUCACAGCCUCCCCCCGAUCGUAGCGAAAGUGUUAAGUGCUCCGCCUGGGGAGUAUGGUCGCAAGGCUG
rnacentral:rRNA from 1 species